rnacentral:tRNA from 1 species
GGCACGGUGGUGCGGUGGGUAGCACUGUCGCCUCACAGCAAGAGUCCUGGGUUCGAUUCUCGGAUGGAGCCU